UACAGAGGGGGCAAGCGUUGUUCGGAAUUACUGGGCGUAAAGGGCGCGUAGGCGGCCUGCUAAGUCGAACGUGAAAUCCCUGGGCUCAACCCAGGAACUGCGUCCGAUACUGACAGGCUUGAAUCCGGGAGAGGGAUGCGGAAUUCCAGGUGUAGCGGUGAAAUGCGUAGAUAUCUGGAGGAACACCGGUGGCGAAGGCGGCAUCCUGGACCGGCAUUGACGCUGAGGCGCGAAAGCUGGGGGAGCAAACGGGG
rnacentral:rRNA from 1 species